UACGGAGGGUGCAAGCGUUGCUCGGAAUUAUUGGGCGUAAAGGGUAGGUAGGUGGUCUUAUUUGUGUGGGGUGAAAGCCUUGGGCUUAACUCAAGAAGUGCCCCGCAAACGGUAAGACUAGAGUCUUUGGAGAGGCUAGCGGAAUUCCCGGUGUAGCGGUGAAAUGCGUAGAGAUCGGGAGGAACACCAGAGGCGAAGGCGGCGACCUGGACAAGUACUGACACUCAACUACGAAAGCGUGGGUAGCAAACAGG
rnacentral:rRNA from 1 species